GCGUAACGCAAAUAACGUCUAUUAUUAUAGGCAGUUAACGAUCCAAGAGGUGAAGUGAUGAACAAGGUUGCUCAAUAUUACCGUGAACUGGUGGCCUCAUUAAGCGAGCGUUUACGCAAUGGCGAGCGCGACAUUGAUGCGCUGGUGGAGCAGGCGCGCCAGCGCGUGAUGCAAACAGGGGAGUUAACGCGAACCGAGGUGGACGAACUGACGCGCGCUGUCAGACGCGAUCUGGAAGAGUUCGCCAUGAGCUACGAAGAGAGCCAGGACGAUAGCGUCUUCUUACGGGUGAUUAAAGAGAGUCUCUGGCAGGAACUGGCGGACAUUACCGACAAAACCCAGCUGGAAUGGCGCGAGGUAUUCCAGGAUUUGAAUCACCACGGCGUGUAUC
rnacentral:misc_RNA from 1 species